rnacentral:rRNA from 1 species
GGUCUCACCUGCCCAGUGAUAUUUUUAAACGGCCGCGGUAUCCUAACCGUGCAAAGGUAGCAUAAUCACUUGUCCCCUAAAUAGGGACUAGAAUGAACGGUUAAAUGAGGGCUUCACUGUCUCUUACAUUCGACCAAUAAACCUGAUCUUUCAGUCCAAAAGCUGAAAUAAACCCAUAAGACGAGAAGACCCUGUGGAGCUUCCAAACCAAGCCCACCACCCUAUGUCCCCUUGGUUUUUAGUUGGGGCGACUUUGGAGCACAAACAACCCUCCAACUACGGACCUUCCCCUCUAGAUGUACAUAUCAACAAAAAUUUUUCCCCGACCCAGUAGCUAAAUUGUCUAUCUGACCAAUGGACCAAGUUACCCCAGGGAUAACAGCGCCAUCCUCUUCUAGAGUCCCUAUCGACAAGAGGGUUUACGACCUCGAUGUUGGAUCAGGACACCCCUAUAGUGCAGCCGCUAUAAAAGGUUCGUUUGUUCAACGAUUAAAGUCCUA